UUCUGCCCUAUGAUUAUUUAAAUGGCUGCAGUAUUCUGACUGUGCAAAGGUAGCAUAAUAAUUAGUCUUUUAAUUGAGGACUUGUAUGAAUGAUUAUAUGAGAUAUUUAUUUUAUUAAUAAAAUUAUUAGAAUUUAAUUUUUAUGUAAAAAAGCUUAAUUUCUUUUUCGGGACGAAAAGACCCUAUAGAACUUUAUAUUUUUAUUUAAAAUUUUAUUUUAGUUUAAUUUUUAAAUUUUUAAUUAAGAAAUAUUUUAUUGGGGUGAUAAAUAAAUUUUACUUUAUUUUUUAAAAUCAUUUAUUUAUGUAAUUAUUGAUCCAUUAUUAUGAUUAAAAGAUUAAGUUACCUUAGGGAUAACAGCGUUAUUUUAAUGGGGAGUUCACAUCUAUAUUAAAGUUUGCGACCUCGAUGUUGAAUUAAGAUAAAAUUUGGGGGUAG
rnacentral:rRNA from 1 species